GACGAACGCUGGCGGCGUGCUUAACACAUGCAAGUCGAACGGAAAGGCCCUGCUCUUGUGGGGUGCUCGAGAGGCGAACGGGUGAGUAUCACGUGAGUAUACUGCCCUUGUCUUUGGGAUAACUUCAGGAAAAUGGGGCUAAUAUCGGAUAGGAGCUCCUGCUGCAUGGUGGGGGUUGGAAAGUUUCGGCGGUUGGGGCUGGACUCGAGGUGUAUCAGCUUGUUGGUGGGGUAGUGGCUUAAAAAGGCUAUGACGGGUAGCCGGCCUGAGAGGGUGACCGGGCACAGUAGAACUGAGAAAGGGGCAAGAGUACUACGGGGGGAAGCAGUAGGGAAUCUUCGGCAAUGGGCGAAGGCCUGACGGAGCACCGCCGAGUGAGUGAGGAAGGUCUUCGGAGCGUAAAACUCUGUUAUUGGGAAAGAAAAAAUGUGUAAGUAACUAUGCACGUCUUGAGGGUAGCUAAUCAGAAAGCCACGGCUAACUACGUG
rnacentral:rRNA from 1 species